rnacentral:tRNA from 1 species
GCGGGUAUAGCUCAAGUGGCUAGAGCGUUGGACUGUGGAUCCAAAGGUUGCGGGUUCGAUCCCCGCUACCCGCCCCA